AUGCAUUUCACAGCCUGUCCUGUCUUUCCCCGGGCUCGUGGCUGAGUGUGUAGCCCGCCCACACAUUGCCCUUUGUAUUCAGGCACUGCCUCGGGCAGCCCGGGGCCCUGCUCUCAGGACCCUCCCUCCUCUCUGCUCUGCUCUCCCGGUCAGGGGCUGUCAUUGGUGAAGGACCCGCAACAUGCUGCACGGACGGAUUCUCGGGCGCCUUGUCGGUAGGUGGUCUGGCUGGCUGCCGGCGCUGAUUGCACGGUCUGGGCAGAGCUGGAGCUCAGUGGGCAUUAGUCACUCUGUCCCAGGGAGCAGACAGGGGGCUCUGCAUGGAAUGACAGACAGGGGGGGCUCUGCAUGGAAUGACAGACAGGGGGGGCUCUGCAUGGAAUGACAGACAGGGGGGGCUCUGCAUGGAAUGACAGACAGGGGCCUGUACUGGAAUGACACAGGGCCUGAGCAAUGAGAGUGAGGGGGCUCUGCAUGCAAAUGAGAGACAGGGGCCUCCAUGGGGAGGGGGGGCAGAUAGGGGCGGCUCCAUGAGGGGGGAGGAAACAGGUGUGGCCUCCAAGGAGGAGGGGAGGAGGAGGGGGGAAGGAAACAGGUGGGCCUCCAUGGAGGGAGGGGGAAGGAAACAGGUGGGCUCCGCCGGGAUGGGGAGGAAACAGGUGGGCCUCCAUAGGGGAAACAGGUGGCUCUCCAUGGGGGGCAGACAGGUGGGCUCCAUGGGGGCAGACAGGUGGCUCUCCAUGGGGGGGGACAGGUGGGCUCCUGGGGCAGACAGGCUCCACACAGGUGGCUCCAUGGGGCAGACAGGCAGGGCUCCAUGGGGUAGACAGGUGGGCUCCAUGGGGGCAGACAGGUGGCUCUCCAUGGGGGACCAGAUGGGUUAAUAGCUUUGUAGGAUAUUGUAGUGUACACAGGAUUUACUUAAAUGCUGUCAAGUCUGUUCUUGAGGCAAUGAGACUUUAGAAGUUGCCCUGUAGAGAAAAGAUAUUCAUUGUGUUUACGGAGCAAAGAGCACAAUAAAAAGCUUUCGUAUACUACAUUACCUUGUUGAGGUCUUGGGGUUUCUAGCCUUGUCUGGAUCCCAAGCAGGAUGGAGAUGAGUGAAAGUAGGAGGUUGUGAGUCCUUGGAUGGCAUGCCAUGCUCUAAUAAAGCAUGCCUAGUGGAUCAAACAAUGCUUUUAUGGUGCUAUCUGUAAAAAAAGUCUACUUUAUUAAUGUGUUAACCUUUACAGUUUUUUUAUUUUUUAUAAACACCGCUAAUUGAAAUGGAUGUUUGACAGCCUUACUCAGGGAUACAUGGCAGUCUAAGCUAGAGGUAGAGGACAUGCGGGGUUGUCCUUGGCGUAAAAGUUUAACGUAUUGCUGAUGUAAUUGUGCAGAAGUAUCCUAGAUUUAAGGUAAUUCUGCAAGUAUUUUCUCAUAAUUUUAAAUGCACUGCAUGAUCCUCCAAGCAUGAACAGGGUUAUUCACUAAACUGUUUAACCCCUUAAGGACACAUGGUAUGUCAUGAUUCCCUUUUAUUCCAGACGUUUGGUCCUUAAGGGGUUAAAUUGGCAGCAGCUGAUAUAAAUGUCUACACAGCAUAGUUGGGGUGGUGGGGUGUGUUGCGUCAUGCACAAUUGGGACAACAUUAAAGGGACACAAUAGGCACCCAGAACACUUCAUCUCAUUGAAGUAGUCUGGAUGCAGUGCCCUUGUCCCAUAUUGCAGUUUCAAAAACUGCAAUAAUUACAUUGCAGGCUUAACUCCACCUCCUGCAUGAUGAAGGUGUAGAGUAGUUGAUUAACAGGCUCUUCAGCUGUGUAAAAAAAAAAUAUUCCAAUAAUCAAAGUUUAGAGGAAUUAUAAAAAAAAAAAAAAAAAAAAAAAAGUACUUGCAUUUCAGAUAUUUAUUGGUAGAUUCUGGUAAGGACACAGUGAUACCUAUUGCUGUGAUUGACCAACUUUUGUUGAGGUUUAAGUUGUUUGGAGGGAAACGAGAGUUGUGGCACAGCUAAUAAGUUAGGCUAUUUUGAAUAUAGUGGGCCAGUUUAUUUAUAGCUAUGGUGCUUGGGCUAGGUUGGAUAGUAAAAGAUUAGACCGUAGAAAUCCCGUCAAAGAUACUCUUCUAAAUUCGUUUCACCGUGAAAGAGUAGAUAAAAACUGAAGUUCAGUCCCAAUUCUAAAUAUAGAGUCAUGAAAUGGGAAAUCUACUUUUGUUUGAAAACUGGAGAGUUUUUAUUUAAUUCUUGAAAUAUAUAGCUGAAAAUACAUCCUAUUAGCUUGCCUUUACUGUUAAUAUUGCUUUUUCUCUAGAUGAGGAAUUAUCUGACGUUUCCCUAGCCUCCUGAUAGCAACUGACUGUUUAUAUGAAUAGCUUAAAGGGACACUCCAGGCACCCAGGCCACUUCUGCCCAUUGGCGUGGUCUGGGUGCCAACUCCCACUACCCUUAACCCUGCAAGUGUAAUUAUUGAAGUUUUUUAUAAACUGCAAUAAUUACCUUGCAGGGUUAACUCCACUUCUACUAGACAGCCACUAGAGGGCACUUCCGUGUCCAUAGCACGGGAAACUGUGUGACGACCUCCAGCGUCGCUCAAUUCCCCAUAGGAAAGCAUUGAAAGCAUUUUCAAUGCUUACCUAUGGAGAGCUCUAAUGCGCGUGCGCGGCAUUGCCGGGCAUGUGCAUUAGGUUUCCUCAGCCAGCGGGCGGGAUCAGUCUCGCCCACCGGCUGACGUAAUCACUGGGAGGAGCGGCGGCGACCCGAAACCAUCGGUGGGGUCUCCGAUAAGUGACUGAAGGGGUUUUCACCCCUUCAACUACCGGGGGGAUGGGUGGUGGGAGGGAGAUGGGUCCUGCAGUGCCAGGAAAACGGAUUGUUUUCCUGGCACCGGAGAGUCUCUUUAACAUAGUUCUAGUCUUGAAAAUGUAUAUUCCAUAUCCUGCAUUUUCAUUUCAUAACAUUCCAGCUUUGUUUUGUAUUCUAUAAGUGUAGUUUUAUUAUUUGGCUACAAAAAAAAAUAAAAAAUAAUCCAUGGCUGUUUAAUUCCUGAAUUGUAGCAUAACCUAAUAUUGAACUAAAAGUUAGCUACUUUUUGUGGCUUUUUUUCUUUUUUUUUUCUUUAUUGAUUUUUAUUUUCAGUUAUAUGCUUUGCUAUGCAGCGUAAAUAAGUUUACGUUUACAAUGCUGUAUGCACAGAGCAAGUACAGCAGUGCUGGAGAAAAUGCCUAAGUUCACAAGUGCAGCAUGGGAAGCGUGGCAAUACUGUGAGGGAUUUUUUUUUUUUUCUUUUAAUUUCCUUUGUUUUUAUACAUAUUUCUUCUGCAUUACACUUCUGUAGUAUUUACUGGAGUGAAAAAAACAAGAACUACUUACCUGUAAGUUCCUCGAUAACUUAUUUUGUCUCUAAAACUGUAUUUGUGAUCUUCAAUUCCAUGUACACAAAAUAAUAUUGCCAUCUACUUUUUAGACAUGUUCUGGAAAGAUUUUAUUUUUAGAUUUGAUCAUAGGUUUCUUUAGGCAUUCGACCGACAGGAAGGCACAGUGUGCCUUUUUUCCCCCCUUCUUCCAAGUGCUGAGAGGUUCCAGUAAUGGUUUACUUUUCAAGGUUUAGAUUCGUGAAUGGAGUGAGGAAACAAAGUGCUUACAAAUCAUCUGUAUGUACUGCUGGUAGUAAGAGAUGUAAAACCAUCCCGGUGAACUUUGCUCUGGUUCUUGUGUCACCUUUGAAACAGAAAGCUGCUUGCAGGGAUUCUUACUGCCCUCUGUACUAUUCCCUGACAAAAACAGGUUUUAACCUGCAUGCUGUGUUCAAUAAUUGGGAGUGUUUUUUUCUUUCUUCAAAGGUUGGUCACCAACACCACUAUCUGUGCAUAUAAUACCACAUUUUCUUAACUAAAGUGUUAAAUAAAAGGUCCAUAGGCCUGACUUGGUCUGCUACACUUGUAUAUCUGGCCUUCAGACCUAGAGUGCAGUGCCAAUUUUCGAUAACCACACUAACAGACAAAGUAGUGGGUAGUUCCAUCUCUGUUUCUGCGUUAUGCUUUACUUAAAGGGACACUAUAUAGUCCCCAGAAUUAGUACAGCUUAAUGUAGUGGCUCUGGUGUCUAUAACCUGUCUCUGCAGGCAUUUCAGUGUAAACACUGCCUUUUCAGAGGAAAGUGUUUACAUUGGUUCCUAGCAGCACCUCUAGAGGCAGUCACACAGACAGUAACUAGAGGUGCUCCCUGUGUCAGUGCUGCACAGCGUCUCCACGCUCUACAUUGAGAUGCUAAACAUUCCCCUUAGAGAAUCAUUGAUUUAAUGCCUCUUUAUGAGGAGAUGGUGAUUGGGGCAGAGUGUCGUUUUACGGAGUUCAUAUAACUAAAUAAAAAAACUAAAACAAUUUAAUAAAGGAAAAUUAUAUUGUAGGUGUUUUGAGGGGACUCCGGAAUGCACACAUAAAGAGGGUUGUGAAUGCUUGUGCAGCCCUCUGCCUAAUUUGUGUUUCAGUGAUUUUUUUACUGCAAAAAGUGCAUCUGACAUUGCUCAUUACUCUGAAUUUCUUAAUUAUCGAAAUCUGUGCACUUUUGAUUUCAUUGAUCACAAACCUCACUUUUACAGUUUUAUUUCUGUGGAGCUUGUUUAUAUUUAUUUAUAUUACUGUUGGAUGUGUAAUUACUGUUUAAUGGUGUAAUACUCAGACAUUACACACUAUGAUUUUGUGCUAUACAGCUCUAAUAUUCCUAUAUGCAUUGCAGAGUACUGUGAGUUUCACUGCUGUAAAGCUCUGGAAUGCAGAUUUUUAUUUUUGUCCAUUCUAUGACUAUUUUUUUUUUUUUUUUUUGUGUGCGCUUUUUUGUGAUGCGGGGCUGGAGUGAUGUUAUAUUCUGGCUCCUGUCAUUACAGCAGGAAAUGCAAGGGAGCAGAGCCCAAAGAUUACUGCUUCCUGGGCCAGCCAAUCGCCUUCUUGCUCCCUGGGUUGGCCAGCUACUUCCAUACAUCCUCGGCCAGCCACCCACCUCCCAUGAACGGUAACAGGCUGACAAAUCCCAGGAUCCUAAGAUCCUGUUUAUAACAGUCAAGUGUACACAAAGCAAAUCUAUAUAUGAUAACAAUUGCCUUUCUUUUUAAAUAAAUAAUGAUAAUUUAUCCACAUGAAGUAGUAUUGGAGAGGUAUAGCAAAUAUAUUUUAGAUGACAUUUUAUCCUUUUUAAAUCCUGAUAAAAUCAGGCAAUUGGAAAGCAUCUUUUGUAUUUAUCUCUUUUUAUUAUUUCACAAAGUACCAGGAAAAUGCAGGCAGCCCUCCCUGUGCAGUGCUUGUAUCUGAAUGCUCCCAGUAAAUUGUUUUACAAGUGUUAUUGGCAGUGCUUCAGUUUCUGCACAGUCUGUAGUUUGAAUUUGCAUUUUUCCCCAGAUUGUUAAUUCCCUGCUUAUUUACUGUGUUUAUCUGUAAUUACUUUUCAAAAAGCUGUGCAAUUCGUUGUCUUUGCUUCUCACAUUUUGUGUGAUUUAUCAGGCUCGUGGUUGUAUUAUAGUAUAUUUUUAAGAAGAGAACGUUAAAAAAAGUUUUGUGAAGUCAAGUUCCUCGUAGAAUUUGCAGGAGGGAUUAACCGUUAAUUUGUAGUGAAUUGGAAACCAAACUACAAAAUUUAAAGCAAACGGGAAAAAAAAAAAUCUAAGAUUCUAAAGUGGCACUUGCUUUCCACAACUCAUGAAUUUCAAGAUUACUAAAGGGAUACUAUAGUGCCAGGAAUACAAAGCUGUAUUCCUGGCACUAUCGCACCCCCUGCCUCCGCUUUCCCUCCUGGGUAAAUAAAGGGUUAAAAGCCCUUUAUUUACUUACCUGAUCACACAGACGAUGUUCCUCUGUGCUGGGCUCACGCUCUGCCCCCUCCAAAGUUCCGCAACGAGUGGGCGCGAAUGCGCAUUAGACCUCCCCCUAAAAAAUAAUUUAAAGAAUUAGUUUCUAUGGGGAAAAAUCGGACACUGGGUGUCCUCAUGCAGAACGUGAGGACGUCCAGCGUCAGAUACUGGACCAAAUGUCCAUUUCAAUCCAGAAAACCCUCUAGUGGUGGUCUGGUAGUUACUGCAAUUAUACUAUUAAUUUUCUCUGCCAUCGUCUCCAAAUUCCUCUGCUACCUCUUUUCUUAUCUCUCCCUUUUAAUGUUUAGGUUGUAAACUCACAGGCAGGGCCCCUUUACCUUUUGUAUUGGUAUGUUUAUACUGCAUUGUCUUUUUCCCAAUUGUGCAGCGCUGCGGAAUAUGUUGGUGCUUUAUAUAUUCCAGUUAUAAUAAUUCUAAACAGACCCCUCCAGUUUUAGGGGGAUGUUGAUAUAACUAGACAAUACGGCUCGCAAAUAUAUUGAAUUUUAAUGGUGAAUUUCACAGGCUGUGUGUGUCCUACAACUUCAAAGACUCCACAUUUGUUUUCUGCUGCAUUUGCAGAGUACAGCAAUAUCCCACUUGUACACAUUUGACAAAUUAUUUGGGGGACAUUGGAGACAGUCUGCUAGAUUUCCUGAGAUUUGUGGUAAAAUUAUUUAUAUCCCCCUAUCUGUUUUAUCAUGCUGACCAGCUUCAUACUUUGAUACGAUUUUCACAUUAUCCAGUUCUAAUUAGUUGCUGUAAAAGUCAGUCACAGUGAUGACAAGUUUAUCUGGCAAACAGACAUGUCAUCACAGUGAUUGUUAGGGAGCCUGGAGGCCAGUCUCUCAUUAUUUCAGUGGACUGCAGAGAGUCCUGACCUCAACUACAUUGAUCAGCUUUGGGAGGAAUUUUAACACCUGUCACGAGCCAGGCCUUCUCAUCCAAUUUCAGUACUUGACCUUGCAAAUGCUCUUUUGGCUGAUUGGUCAGAAAUUCCCACAGACAAAAUCCAAAUCUUUGUAAAGGUGUGUGGUGAGAGGGGACAACUCCAUAGUAAUAAACAUGGCUUUUGAAUGCAAGGUCCAACAAUCCCAUCCAAGUAUGAUGUCCCCUCCCCUGUCCCAUUCAGUUAUAGGUCUAGCGAUUUUAUACAUUUUUAUAAUGAACUUGGUAUAUUGGGCUAAUGACUAAGCUUUCCGUGUUACCUUAAGGUGUUUCGGGAAAAUGUUAGGGAUCGACCGAUUAAUGUGUUUUUUUUUUUUUUUUUUUUUAGAGCUGAUACAGAUAAUCUGUAAACUUUCAGGCAGAUACCCAAUAGUUUACCGAUAUUCUGUACAUUUACUGUUUUGAGGAAAACUGUUUUUGCUAAUCAUUUUUUAAUGAAGUGGUAAAUGCACAAAACAUACACGGCAGUCAGGUUUUUUUCAUGUUUUCAAGAAUAUUUAUGUGUGUGUGUAGUGGAUGCAGUGAGAGUAAAUUUUAGUAAAUGCAGUGUUUGUGUAGUGGAUGCAGUGUGUUUGUGUGUAAAUAUGUGCGAUAGGAACACUCCCCCUCAUUCCCCUUAAUGUAGUUGUUCUGGUGAGUAUAAUAGUUCCCUUCAGGCUUUUUUCAUGCAAACACUGCCUUGUUUACAUUGCCUCUAGGGACACCUCCAAGUGGCCACUCCUUAGAUGGUCACUGGAGGUGCUUCCUGGGUCAGUGCUGCCGAAAAAGCAGCCCUCUUCAGCGUCCCCACGCUCUGCACGGAGACGCUGAAUUUUCCUCAUAGAGAUGCAUUGAUUCAAUGCAUCUCUAUGAGAAGGUCCUAAAUGGCCAAAACAGCAUUUGGCCACACCCCAUGCCGAUUUUAGCCAAUUUGUAGCCAAAUUGGACUAAAAACCAGCCAUUUUGAUUGUCACAAAGGGGGUGGAGCCAGCGCCAACAGACUCAUUGUGUUCCUGACCCUAUAGUGUUCCUUUAAUGUUCCUCUCCCUUCCCCCUACCCCAGUGUUCCUUUUCCCUUCCCUGUAACUUAGUGCCCUCCCUUAAUGCUCUUAACCAUAGUGUUCUCCCCCAUCCCACAGUGUUCUUUACUCCCACCCCUUCACAGUCUCAUAGUGUUCUUUCCUGCCCCUCUCCCCUGUCCCAUAAUGUUGUUUCCUGUCCCAUAGUGUUGUGUCCUGCCCCCCUCCCCUGUCCCAUAGUGUUGUGUCCUGCCCCCCUCCCCUGUCCCAUAGCGGUUGUGUCCUGCCCCCCUCCCCUGUCCCAUAGUGGUCUUUCCCCUCCCUCCCCUCUAACUUCCCCCUGUCUUGUCUCCCGCGGUACAGGAGAUUGUCUCCUCUACCUGGCCAUACUGAGAGGAAGUGCUCUCUCAGUGAGCAUUUCCUUUCAGUCUGGCCGGGUACAGGAAACAUAAGUUCCUGUACUGCGGUGCGCGCUGCCUUGCUCGGCCACACUACAGAAUGCCUGUGUGCCAACCUCCUGCCACACUUCAAUCUAGCGCCCCCUGGCUCGGUGCGCCCUAAGGCGGACGCUUGUGCCACCUUAUGGACCCACCGACCCACCUCAUUAUCGGUAUUACCGAUAAUCAGUCGAUCCCUAGAAAAUGUAUUGCUUUGUAAUACUCAAUAUAUGCUAACUAACAAUUGUUCUCUUUUGUUUUCACAGUGCAACAUAAUGCAGUAAGACACUGCUCUUAUGCAGCUUCACGGCAGAACUUGUUUAUUAAUAAGGAUACUAAAGUCAUAUGCCAAGGUUUCACUGGAAAGCAGGUGAGUUUUCUCAAC